CUAGCAUUUGAGUUUCCUGCCACCUUAAAAAAAAAAAAAAAGUUUACUAUGAUUACUGUAUUAUAUCAGAAAAGUUUUAAACCACCCAGCUAAAGCUAUGUGAAAGUUGGCCUCAAAGUGGAGAAGUUCUUAGAAGUGGUAAUGCCUUGCUGCCCACUCUGCUGAUAGGAUUGCUCCGCUGAUAGGAUUCCGUGCUCCCCGCAGCACUUGGCAAGUUAACCCUGACUGCUGGUCCUCAUGUGCACAAGACAGUGCUGACUCGGUGAGGGGAAGAAACCCGCUUUGAAUUGUUUGCCUCUCAAGGGGGGUGCGUUACAGUCUUCACCAGCCCCCCCCCUUUGACCAGCAGCGGCACAUCUGCGAAGAGGUUCAUAGGGCUGAGGGGUGCAUUUUAUAGCUAUGAAAACAUGAGGUUUUCCUCUAUUGGAAGCUAAUUAGCCCGCCAAGGUAUUGAACCUCUAGCUUGGGCCUUAAUUAGCAUUGUACUCUAAUCAAAGGACUCUUUCCCGACCAUAUUUAUAGCUCUCUAACCUACACAUAGUCUAUAUAUAGAUGCAUAUUUUACCCCCAGCUGGCUAGAGAUUUAUUUGUUGUAAAUGCUGUAUAGGAUUUGUUUUUUUCUUUCUUAUCCUGGUUUGGGUUUUCUUUUUUUGAUGGAUUUAUGCUGUCUUAGCAAGUUUGAAAAUAACCCUCUGUAGCCUGAGCUCCCCCCUUCCCUGCUGUAACCACGGGGCCUGUGCUGGUACGGGACACAGGAUGGCGCAUCACCGUUGCAUUCCCAUUGGACUCAUGCACCUCCCGGAUGGUUUUGGUUUUUUUUUUUUUUUUUUUUGUUUUGUUUUUGUUUCUCAGAUUUGAAUGGAUUUUUCUUAUCAAAUAAUGCAUUCCCCUGAAGAGGAUUUAGAAAAUUCUAGUAAGUGUAAAUUAGGAUCAUUUUC
rnacentral:lncRNA from 1 species